rnacentral:rRNA from 1 species
UGGGGAAUCUUGCACAAUGGGGGCAACCCUGAUGCAGCGACGCCGCGUGAGCGAUGAAGCCCUUCGGGGCGUAAAGCUCUUUCGACCGGAACGAUAAUGACGGUACCGGGAGAAGAAGCUGCGGCUAACUACGUGCCAGCAGCCGCGGUAAUACGUAGGCAGCAAGCGUUGUUCGGAGUUACUGGGCGUAAAGAGUGCGUAGGCGGUUUUCUAAGUUCGGUGUGAAAUCUCCCGGCUUAACUGGGAGGGUGCGCCGAAGACUGGGAAGCUGGAGUGUGGGAAAGGCAGGCGGAAUUCCUGGUGUAGCGGUGAAAUGCGUAGAGAUCGGGAGGAACAUCUGUGGCGAAGGCGACUGCCUGGACCAGCACUGACACUGAGGCACGAAAGCGUGGGGAGCAAACA